rnacentral:rRNA from 1 species
UACGUAGGGUGCGAGCGUUAAUCGGAAUUACUGGGCGUAAAGCGUGCGCAGGCGGUUCGCUGUGUCCGAUGUGAAAGCCCCGGGCUUAACCUGGGAAUGGCAUUGGAAACUGGCGGGCUUGAGUGUGGCAGAGGGGGGUGGAAUUCCGCGUGUAGCAGUGAAAUACGUAGAGAUGUGGAGGAAUACCGAUGGCGAAGGCAGCCCCCUGGGCCAAUACUGACGCUCAUGCACGAAAGCGUGGGGAGCAAACAGG